rnacentral:rRNA from 1 species
AACGAACGCUGGCGGCAUGCCUAACACAUGCAAGUCGAACGAGACCUUCGGGUCUAGUGGCGCACGGGUGCGUAACGCGUGGGAACCUGCCCUUAGGUUCGGAAUAACUCCCCGAAAGGGGUGCUAAUACCGGAUAAUGUCUUCGGACCAAAGAUUUAUCGCCUUUGGAUGGGCCCGCGUUGGAUUAGCUAGUUGGUAGGGUAAAAGCCUACCAAGGCGACGAUCCAUAGCUGGUCUGAGAGGAUGAUCAGCCACACUGGGACUAAGACACGGCCCAGACUCCUACGGGAGGCAGCAGUGGGGAAUAUUGGAAAAUGGGCGAAAGCCUGAUCCAGCAAUGCCGCGUGAGUGAUGAAGGCCUUAGGGUUGUAAAGCUCUUUUACCCGGGAUGAUAAUGACAGUACCGGGAGAAUAAGCUCCGGCUAACUCCGUG